UGAUGGUCAUAGAAGAGGUGAAAGAGCAGUACCCCCCAAUUAUGGUGGGGUAAUUCGCACUCUGAUUACAAUACAAUA